UUAAAUUUUAUAAAAACACAAAAAAAUAAUUUAUUAAAAUAUAUUUCAUCCAAUAAGAAUAAAAUUCGGAUUAAUAACAUUAACGUAUCUCAUUUUGUUAUUGAUACAAUAGCAAAUAGCUAAUUUUAUUAUACGUCAAAAUAUAACAUGAUAAUGAUCAUAUACGUCAAAGUGCGUCUCACAUACAAAAUCGGAUAAACAUUCUCAUUAAAACGUUCCCUUACCAGAUGAAAACACUAUGCUCAAUGACAGUGAAUAAUGGAGUCGAUGUUAAGUCGGAAAAAAACUUUCAGCUUCGAGUUAGUUUAUUAUAAUGCACACAAUAUCACGCAUCGUAACAUGACAUUUUGCAACAAGAGACGGGAUUUACUGCUAUGAUGUCUUCUGUUUUGAUAA